GAUGAACGCUAGCGGCAGGCCUAACACAUGCAAGUCGAGGGGAAACGGCAUUGAGUGCUUGCACUCUUUGGACGUCGACCGGCGCACGGGUGAGUAACGCGUAUCCAACCUUCCCAUUACUGUGGGAUAACCUGCCGAAAGGCAGACUAAUACCGCAUAGUCUUCGAUGACGGCAUCAGAUUUGAAGUAAAGAUUUAUCGGUAAUGGAUGGGGAUGCGUCUGAUUAGCUUGUUGGCGGGGUAACGGCCCACCAAGGCAACGAUCAGUAGGGGUUCUGAGAGGAAGGUCCCCCACAUUGGAACUGAGACACGGUCCAAACUCCUACGGGAGGCAGCAGUGAGGAAUAUUGGUCAAUGGACGUAAGUCUGAACCAGCCAAGUAGCGUGCAGGAUGACGGCCCUAUGGGUUGUAAACUGCUUUUGUAUGGGGAUAAAGUUAGGGACGUGUCCCUAUUUGCAGGUACCAUACGAAUAAGGACCGGCUAAUUCCGUGCCAGCAGCCGCGGUAAUACGGAAGGUCCAGGCGUUAUCCGGAUUUAUUGGGUUUAAAGGGAGCGUAGGCUGGAGAUUAAGUGUGUUGUGAAAUGUAGACGCUCAACGUCUGACUUGCAGCGCAUACUGGUUUCCUUGAGUACGCACAACGUUGGCGGAAUUCGUCGUGUAGCGGUGAAAUGCUUAGAUAUGACGAAGAACUCCGAUUGCGAAGGCAGCUGACGGGAGCGCAACUGACGCUUAAGCUCGAAGGUGCGGGUAUCAAACAGG
rnacentral:rRNA from 1 species